AUCCGGUCUAUUCCUGUCCAACUGCAAGGCUUCAGUGUUAAUGAUUUAUAGUGAGCCACAGUGACUCCUGCUCGCUGUAACUGGCACCCCAUUUCAAGGGCUGGGACCUCACUAAGACUUCUUCUCCUGUCAGACAGGAGACCAGCCAGAAGAAUGAAACCCUUCAGAGCUGCAUUUGGUGAGCCUGGGCAGGAACUUGGCAGGAUUUCCUGCCUGACAAAGUCCUGGCGGAUGGAUGUGCAGGCAGGCACAGGGCCACAAUCCCUGCAGGGAGCAAAAUUAAAUAUCUACUUAGAGACCCACAGAGAUGACAGCUGGAAUUUCUGAGGGUUGAAGAGUACCUCAUCCAAUCAAGGGGAGAAAAGAAGAAGUUGCCCUAUGGAGUGGGAAGACAAAAUAUUUUGAAGACGUUAAACUAUUGCAAAGAACUAUUACUUUUCUGUAAUAUUAAUGCAAUGAAUGACAAAAUGUUCCUUUUACCAAGUCAUACAUAAAAGCCAGUGGUGCCUCCAGACAAAUGUGGUGACAAAAAAAUAAAAAAGACUC